UUUCAGUGACAGAGUAUAAAAGGUAAAGUAGAAGAAAGGGCACAGCAGCUAGGAGUUGUCGGGGAGAACAAGAGGCGUUUUGCCUUGGAUAUAGACUGGUGCAGGUGAGACCAUUGUGGAGACAGAGUCUUCCUUUAUAUAGGAACUGUUGGGGGACUGUGCCUGGGACCCUGGACUAAUUGCCUUGCCCUUGGCUUUCCAGUCAGUUCAUUAACUUCCUUUUCUUUCACAAUAGCCAAGCCCCUUUGAAGGGAAAACGAGCACAGAACCAAGCACAGCCAAACCUUCUUCCCCAGAACCAGCACCACCUUCUGAGGCAAUGGAAGCAGACCGUCCAGGCACCCCGGUUCCCCCUGUUGAAGUCCCGGAGCUCAUGGAUACAGCCUCUUUGGAGCCAGGAGCUCUGGAUGCCAAGCCAGUGGAGAGUCCUGGAGAUCCUAACCAACUGACCCGGAAAGGCAGGAAGAGGAAAAGUGUGACAUGGCCUGAGGAAGGCAAACUGAGAGAAUAUUUCUAUUUUGAAUUGGAUGAAACUGAACGAGGUAAGAGGUCAUUUCCUAUGUAAUAGGUGUGUUUAAGGGAUUUUGAAAGGACUUGGUUGUGCUUACUUUCCCUCUUGCUUUUCUUCCCCUGCCGACAGUAAAUGUGAAUAAGAUCAAGGACUUUGGCGAGGCGGCUAAGCGAGAGAUACUGUCAGACCGACAUGCAUUUGAGACAGCGCGGCGUCUGAGCCAUGAUAACAUGGAGGAGAAGGUGCCCUGGGUGUGCCCCCGGCCCCUGGUUCUGCCCUCACCUCUUGUCACCCCUGGAAGCAAUAGUCAGGAGCGAUAUAUCCAGGCUGAGCGGGAGAAGGGAAUCCUUCAGGAGCUCUUCCUGAACAAGGAGAGUCCUCAUGAGCCUGAUCCUGAGCCCUACGAGCCCA
rnacentral:lncRNA from 1 species